rnacentral:rRNA from 1 species
GAUGCGGGGGGGCUAUACAUGCAGUCGAGCGGCAGCUUUCAGCAAUGGAAGCGAGAGCGGCGCACGGGUGAGUAACGCGUACACAACAUACCCACGAGAGGGGGAUAGUCACGGGAAACUGUGGGUAAACCGCCAUGACAUAUGAGCAGGGCAUCCUGUUGAUAUGAAAUCUGAGGAGCUUGUGGAUUGGUGUGCGUUCUAUUAGGUAGUUGGUAGGGUAAAGGCCUACCAAGCCGAUGAUAGAUAGGGGGCGUGAGAGCGUGUUCCCCCACACGGGUACUGAGACACGGACCCGACUCCUACGGGAGGCAGCAGUAAGGAAUAUUGGACAAUGGACGGAAGUCUGAUCCAGCCAUCCCGCGUGCAGGAAGAAGGCCCUUCGGGUUGUAAACUGCUUUUGACUGGGAAAAAAUCACCUGGGUUACAGGUGUUGAUGGUACCAGUAGAAUAAGCACCGGCUAACUCCGUGCCAGCAGCCGCGGUAAUACGGAGGGUGCAAGCGUUAUCCGGAAUCACUGGGUUUAAAGGGUGCGUAGGCGGCCUUAUAAGUCAGGAGUGAAAGUCUGCAGCUUAACUGUAGGAUUGCUUUUGAUACUGUAGGGCUUGAACAUGGUUGAGGUCAGCGGAAUGUGGCAUGUAGCGGUGAAAUGCAUAGAUAUGCCAUAGAACACCAAUUGCGAAGGCAGCUGGCUGGACCAGAGUUGACGCUGAGGCACGAAAGCGUGGGGAUCAAACAGGAUUAGAUACCCUGGUAGUCCACGCCCUAAACGAUGCUUACUUGUUGUUUGUCCGAAAGGGUGAGCGACUAAGCGAAAGCGAUAAGUAAGCCACCUGGGGAGUACGCCCGCAAGGGUGAAACUCAAAGGAAUUGACGG